rnacentral:misc_RNA from 1 species
GAUGAAGAACGCAGCGAAAUGCGAUAAGUAAUGUGAAUUGCAGAAUUCAGUGAAUCAUCGAAUCUUUGAACGCACAUUGCGCCCCUUGGUAUUCCGGGGGGCAUGCCUGUUCGAGCGUCAUUUCAACCAUCAAGCCCCCGGCUUGUGUUGGGGACCUGCGGCUGCCGCAGGCCCUGAAAAGCAGUGGCGGGCUCGCUGUCACACCGAGCGUAGUAGCAUACAUCUCGCUCUGGGCGUGCUGCGGGUUCCGGCCGUUAAACCACCUUCAUAACCCAAGGUUGACCUCGGAUCAGGUAGGAAGACCCGCUGAACUUAAGCAUAUCAAUAAGCGGAGGA